rnacentral:lncRNA from 1 species
GAAAUUUGAAAAAAAUUCCCGCUAAAUUGAGUGUGUUAGAUUACAAUCCAUGCAACAAAUUAAUAAAAGUGGAUUACAAAAAAUCUAAUUAAGUCAAAUCAAAGGUAAGAGAUCAUUGGCUAUUAAUUAAUAAGUAGUUAUAAGAUUUGCCAUUUAUUUUGCUAUAAAAACCCCUAUCCUAGAGCACUCUUCUUCGUACAAAUUGUUGAAUGUUUUACUUCAUAGAGAGGAUGAGCAGUGUUAUUCCAUAUCUGAGAUAAGUUAUUAAUAUGAUAUCAUAUCUUAUUAUUUCCAUGCUUAAAUACUGUGGUUUCUUUUUUCAUUUCCCUUAACCUUGAUUUCUUGACUUAGAUAUGAGUAAUUAAUUGUUUGAAAUCUUUAUUUUUCAGACUUCAAGCUAUGGCAAAGGAGGAGGAAGAUAACGAUGACGAUUUUGGGAUUUAUCUAAAUUGAAUUAAUGAGUCACCAAGUUUUUUGUAAUCACGGAAUCCACUUAGGAUUGAAUUUAAGGUAAAACAAUUAAUCUUAAGGCUGGUUAAUUCUCUCAUAUUCAAUCCUAAGCGGAUUUCCGUGAUAAAUAACUUGGUGACUUAAUAAUUUAAUUUAGAUUUUGAAAGAAGUGCGUUGAUCUAUAAUUGAUAAACUUCUAUGAGCAACAUCUGUCGUAUUAUUAUUCCUCUUAAUGGCUUGGCUGUAAUAUUAAUGUAGGGAAAAUAGAACUAGCUCGAUUACUUUUUUGCCCUUUGUUUUUAUGUAGUUGUUAGCCUAUUAUAAAAAAUCUUGUCACAGGGCAGCUAAUUUUGUCAAAGACGAUGAUUUUAUGUUAAAUGUCGAUGUAUUAUAUACAACACGAGGCACCUUCCUGUUCCUGAGAUUUCUUGGAAGGACGACGUAAGGCUAAGCAAUUGGUGUCCGUGUAGUUACUAUCCGACAACUGAGGUCCCCUCCGUAUGCUAGACGAGACUAUUCGUGUCGUACAGAAAACCAAUGUCAAGAACAAUUAAGAGAACAGAAAAAGAAUGAAAAUGAAAGAAAGUUUGAUUGUUAUUACACAAAGGCAAUAUAUGAGCAAAUUAAAGGAAACAUGUCUUUAGAAGAAGCUUUCUUCAUUUGUCCUUCUCGAAGAUAUAUCUGUACUUGUUUAUAAUAUAUCAUCAAUUACUUUAAAUUUUAAGGCAUACAAAGGAAAAAGGACUUUAAUAUAGUUCUUGAUUUGAGUUAGUUAUUCUUUCGUUCUUUUUUGUUAGUUUUGGUUCAAAUUAGCUUGUUUAUAAUAUAUCCCAACUUAUUCGGGUCUGAGACUUAGUUAUAUUCUUGUGUUGAUGGCUCUGCAUAGCUUUAUGAUUUGGGUACGAG